rnacentral:rRNA from 1 species
GAUCCUGGCUUAGGAUGAACGCUGGCGGCGUGCCUAACACAUGCAAGUCGAGCGGAGAUGAUCGGAGAUUCUUCGGAUGAUCUUAUUAUCUUAGCGGCGGAUGGGUGAGUAACACGUGGGUAACCUGCCCUGCACAGGGGGAUAACAGCUGGAAACGGCUGUUAAUACCGCAUAUGCACACGCUGCCGCAUGGCAGGGGGUGGAAAGAUUUAUCGGUGCAGGAUGGGCCCGCGUCGGAUUAACUAGUUGGCAGGGUAACGGCCUACCAAGGUGAUGAUCCGUAGCCGACCUGAGAGGGUGACCGGCCACAUUGGGACUGAGACACGGCCCAAACUCCUACGGGAGGCAGCAGUGGGGGAUAUUGCACAAUGGGCGCAAGCCCUGAUGCAGCGACGCCGCGUGAAGGAAGAAGUAUUUCGGUAUGUAAACUUCUAUCAGCGGGGAAGAAGAUGACGGUACCCGACUAAGAAGCCCCGGCUAACUACGUGCCAGCCGCAGC